rnacentral:rRNA from 1 species
AUGGAACAAUGUAGGCAAGGGAAGUCGACAAAACGGAUCCGUAACUUCGGGAAAAGGAUUGGCUCUGAGGACUGGGCUCGGGCGUCCCGGCCCCGAAGCCGUCGGCUGUCGGCGGAUUGCUUGAGCUGCUCACACGGCGAGAGCGGGUCACCGCGUGCCGGCCGGGGGCCGGACCGGGAAUUGCCCCUUCGGGGGCUUUCCUCGAGCAUGAAACAGUCAACUCAGAACUGGUACGGACAAGGGGAAUCCGACUGUUUAAUUAAAACAAAGCAUUGCGAUGGUCCUCGCGGAUGCUAA